GGUCGGCCCUCUCUCUGAACUGCUGCCUGUGUCUGCCCCUCCCUGCACACUGACGACUUUUGCUUAGUGUGGUAGCGUGUCCCAGUGUGUGCUGUUCUGCCUAACCCUGUGGUCUUGUGUCGUUUCUUUUUCCCUUGCAGGGUCUGCCCUGAAGCGUCUCUGCCUAGGCAAAGAACACAGCAGUAGUAAUUAUCCGGGUUUUUUCCCCCUUUGUCCUCUCUCAUCGCAUGGGCUUUCUCGUGGCUAGCGCACAUCAGGGUUCCCGUGGCCGGGCGGGCGUGGGCCUGCCCUGUGCCUGCCCCGUGCCUGCUCCAUGCCUCUCGGCCGGGCACCGCUUCGCUUCUGCCUGGCGGGAUCGCUGCCCUCGGCUCCCCCGUGUGUCUCCGUGGCGCCUAGAGUUUGUGCGGUCUCGCCAGUUCACAUCUAACGGGCUUAUCCUUCCCCGGAACACCCGCAAAUUGCCAAUCAUUAAUUGGCUCCUUUUCCAAAACCGUAGGAAUGAGUAUUUCCUUGAAGUCCUAAAGAUGAGUGCCUCCCCACGAGGAGAGAUGCCAGGACUGAGUGGGUAUUAGUCUCCUUGGGCCACUCACCUCUCUCUCUCUCUCAUCUCUCUCUCUUGAAAAAAUAUUUUUUUUUCUUUUCUGGCUGAACUUUUCAUGUAGGAAUAGCUCCAUGUGUGUCAAAUCUCAUCACUAAUUUUUAAUUGUCUGUGUCUGUGCUUUUUCAUUGCUAGCCACUAAAGUCCACUACAUUUUGGGACAGCUUGUUUGAAGAGAUGGUCAUUAGAUUGUUUUUCUAUGCAGAAAAUUUUUGAAUUGGCUUACUCAAAAUUGCCAACCAGAAAUUACAUGUGUUGCAUGGAAAGGGUAUGAUUUAAAAAUUUUAAAGUCUCAUUUUGGUCCCUUAAAAAACGCUUUGAAUGAAGCAGCCGAGUGCUCUGGUGUGCUAAUGGUCAGCAGAGCGGCUCCCAGCUCCCUCCUGCAGCAGGGCGUUGGCCGCAGCCCAUGGCAGGAGCUGGUGGGGCCGCGUCAGGCAGCCCCAGGCAUGGGUACCCUUUAUGAAUACCUUCCUUGAAUGCGCUGGUCAGGACAAUUUCUACAUCUGGAAUUCCAAACAACCAGACCAUUAAAAUUCAUGGGAAUGCAAGUCAGGCAGCCCUGGCAGGCAUUUUCCCGUGGGCCAGGGGGUUGCCUGCAGGCCAGCCAGCUGCGUGUGCUGAGCGCUCUGCACAUGGUACUCCACCGCCCCGCGUCCUCAUGUUACGGCUGAGGAUGCACAGGCCAGAGAGAGCCCGAGGAACCUGACUUUAGGCACCAUGACUCCGAAGCCCAGUGUGUCUGGCUGUGCCAGGAGUUUCCUGAGCUCUCUCACACGUGAGUCUGGGGACGGGCAGCGGUGGGCACAGAGUGGAUGCUGAGCAGAGGCUGCCGGCUGCUGCAGGGUCCUGUCCCCUGGCCUGGCUUCUGAGGUGGGUGAUGGCCACCUGGCACAGCCCAUGGAAAUGCCCCACCAUGUCUGACCCUGGGCAGCCAGGCCCCUUAAUCCGACCGCCUCUUGAAGCAAGGUGCUGCCUGGCCCAAGUGAGACCAUUGUCUCAGCUGUCACGUAAGAAUGAAUGCGGCCAGCCCACUGGGGGCCUGGGCGCGUGUGUGGCGUCACCAAUCCUGGCCUGUGUGUGACUCCCCAGGGUCCUCCACCAGCAGCCUGGCCCCAGGCCCUGAGCCAGGCCCCCAGCCCGCCCUGCACGUCCAGGCGCAGGUGAACAACAGCAACAACAAGAAGGGCACCUUCACGGACGACCUGCACAAGCUGGUGGACGAGUGGACGAGCAAGACGGUGGGGGCCGCGCAGCUGAAGCCCACACUCAACCAGCUGAAGCAGACCCAGAAGCUGCAAGACAUGGAGGCCCAGGCAGGCUGGGCUGCUCCUGGCGAGGCGCGGGCUAUGACCGCACCUCGAGCAGGAGUGGGGAUGCCACGUCUGCCCCCAGCGCCCGGCCCUCUGUCCACCACGGUCAUUCCCGGAGCCGCCCCGGCCCUGUCCGUGCCCACACCAGAUCCUGAGAGUGAGAAGCCUGACUGACCUCGCCUAGACGCCAGGCCCACUUCACGCCGUCUAAGUGGAGAAGUGACGGACCCUCAGGGCCAGCUGCUCCUCCUGUCCAGUUCACGCUGUUUUGUAACCACUUUCUAAGCAUUUUUUAUUCACAAUUGGAAACACAAAUGUAAUGCAAGAAUAAAAAAUAUUUUGGGGC
rnacentral:sRNA from 1 species